rnacentral:rRNA from 1 species
AUUGAACGCUGGCGGCAGGCCUAACACAUGCAAGUCGAGCGAGCGGCGGACGGGUGAGUAAUGUAUGGGGACCGCCCGAUAGAGGGGGAUAACUACGGGAAACGGUAGCUAAUACCGCAUACUAUCGGAUAACCCAUAUGGGAUUAGCUAGUUGGUGAGGUAAUGGCUCACCAAGGCGACGAUCCCUAGCUGGUCUGAGAGGAUGAUCAGCCACCCGGGGACUGAGACACGGCCCCGACUCCUACGGCGGCAGCAGUGGGAAAUAUUGCACAAGGGGCGCAAGCCUGAUGCAGCCAUGCCGCGUGGAGGAAGAGGGCCCUAGGGUUGUAAAGGACUUUCAGUCGGGAGGCGUUACCGACAGAAGAAGCACCGGCUAACUCCGUGCCAGCAGCCGCGGUAAUAC